CCUACGGAGGCUGCAGUGGGGAAUAUUGGACAAUGGGCGAAAGCCUGAUCCAGCCAUGCCGCGUGUGUGAAGAAGGCCUUCGGGUUGUAAAGCACUUUCAGUGGGGAAGAAAGCCUUGGGGCUAAUACCCUCGAGGAAGGACAUCACCCACAGAAGAAGCACCGGCUAACUCCGUGCCAGCAGCCGCGGUAAUACGGAGGGUGCGAGCGUUAAUCGGAAUUACUGGGCGUAAAGCGCGCGUAGGCGGUCUGAUAAGCCGGUUGUGAAAGCCCCGGGCUCAACCUGGGAACGGCAUCCGGAACUGUCAGGCUAGAGUGCAGGAGAGGAAGGUAGAAUUCCCGGUGUAGCGGUGAAAUGCGUAGAGAUCGGGAGGAAUACCAGUGGCGAAGGCGGCCUUCUGGACUGACACUGACGCUGAGGUGCGAAAGCGUGGGUAGCAAACAGGAUUAGAUACCCCUGUAGUC
rnacentral:rRNA from 1 species